rnacentral:rRNA from 1 species
AUUGAACGCUGGCGGAAUGCUUUACACAUGCAAGUCGAACGGCAGCACGGGUGCUUGCACCUGGUGGCGAGUGGCGAACGGGUGAGUAACAUAUCGGAACGUAUCCAAUAAUGGGGGAUAACUAAUCGAAAGGUUGGCUAAUACCGCAUACGCCCUACGGGGGAAAGCUAGGGACCUUCGGGCCUGGCGUUAAUGGAGCGGCCGAUAUCUGAUUAGCUAGUUGGUGGGGUAAUGGCCUACCAAGGCGACGAUCAGUAGCUGGUCUGAGAGGACGACCAGCCACACUGGAACUGAGACACGGUCCAGACUCCUACGGGAGGCAGCAGUGGGGAAUUUUGGACAAUGGGCGCAAGCCUGAUCCAGCCAUUCCGCGUGAGUGAAGAAGGCCUUCGGGUUGUAAAGCUCUUUCGCAAGGGAAGAAAACUUAUCCUCUAACAUAGGAUGAGGUUGACGGUACCUUGAUAAGAAGCACCGGCUAACUACGUGCCAGCAGCCGCCGUAACAC